ensembl:lncRNA
AGAUAUAGUAUGUCUUAAAGUCUGUGCAUUAGACCUGGACACUCACACACGCCAGGCAAGCAUCCUACCACUGAGCAGCAUUCUGGUCCUAGGUUUCUGUUGCUGUGAUAGAACACCAUGACCAAAAGCAACUUGGAGAGGAAAGAGUUCAUUUCGUCAUAUGACUUACAUGAAGGGAAGGCAGAGCAGGAACUAGAGGCAGGAACUGAAGCAAAGGCCAUGGAGGAGCACUGCCCUGCGCCCCCCCCCCCCUGCUUGCUCAUUUUGCUUUCUCAUAUAUCCCAGCAACACUCUCCCAGGGAUAGCACUGCCCACAGUCAGCAGGCCCAAUCAUAUCAGUCAUCAAUCAAGAAAAUGAAUCUUCAUUAAACGAUUCCCUCAGGGCUCAGGGAACUCGGCAAAGAAGAGACAGACUGUAAGAGCCAGAGGGGAUAAAUGACACCAAGGAAAUAGUAUCUUCCAGACACAAUAGGACUAACACACAGGAACUCACAGCGACUCCGGCAGCAUGCACAAGGGCCUGAACAGGUUCAAGCCAGACGGGGUCCCAGUAUUGAGAGGGGGAAGUAGACACAGGCCCAGUCCCUAACCAAGAAGCUGUCUAUCUCCAAGUGUCAAAUGCUUGCAAAGGAAAAAUUUGUUUUCUCCAGAGGAGUCUCUCUGAGUAUAUUAACCAUACACCCAGCUGUAGAUGGCCAACACAAAAAAUGAACUCAGCGUUAUUUUUGUAGAUUUUCUGUCUCAUACUACUUUGCUUAAGCUUUUUUCUUUUUACUCUUUUGCUUGUAUGUUGUUUUCAGUUUUGUAGUUCUGUGUGUGUUUGUGUGUGUAUGUGUUUCUUAUGCUUUUUCUUUGUUUUGUUUGUUUUGUUCAAUUCUGGUUUGUUGGUUUUAUUUGCCUUCUAAAGAAGGAGAAAACAGGUGUGGAGUGGGAUGGAUAGGGAAGAUCCAGGAGGAGAUGGGGGAGAGGAAACCAUGAUUAGAGUAUAUUGUCUGAAGAAAUGUAUUUUCAAUCAAAAAAAGAAAAAAGAAAAUGCCAGACAUUUGUAGGCCAGUCUUAUGGAGGUAAUUUCUCAGCUGAGGUCCCCUUAAUAUGAGUGACCCUAGCCAAUAUUAAGUUAACAACAACAAAAGUAACAAGGACUAUCCCCAACCCUUUUGUGUUUUCUGUUUUAAGAUGAGGACCAGCUAAGUUGCCAGGCCACCCUCACAUUAUGCCACCUGACUGUGGCUCGAUUUCUAGUUCUGAAGUCAGGGGGAAGAUCCACUUCUAACCUAGAUCUUUGAGGAGGAAGACACAGCUUUAAUUCAGAUCUUUUGGAGUAGGAAGACCCAUCUCUUAUCUGAGCCAAGCCUCCUGCUGGCAGCCUGUAUAAGGACAUGGAAGAAGGAAGCUUCUCUCUUUGCCUGCUUGCUCUCACCUUGCUAGAAAAUCCAUCCCUUCACUGGCAUUAGAGUCUGCUUCUUCAGGAUUCCAGUGUUUACUGAAGACCAGUUGAGACGUCCAGCCUCCAGGACUGAGCAACUACUGGAUUCUUGAACCUUCCAUUCAUAGGCAGCCAUUGUUGGAUUAGCUGGACUGCAUCCUGUAAAUCAUCCUAAUAAAUCCCCUUUUAUAUAAAGAGAUUCCUUCUAUAAGUUCUGUUAUUCUAGAGAACCCUGACUAAUGUAGCCCUAUCUCAGAGUUUUCAGUACCCAGCAAGGUUGGAGGGAACUUUUCCCAACAGCCUGGGCAGCUUCUGGUACUGUGUAACAACCUCUAAUCCCACUCAACAAUAGCAUCACAUCUUUCUUUAAAAGUUAGGUGGGAGGUCAGAGUUUGCAACAACAAUCACACCCUGGAUUCUCCUAAAACAGUCUAUCAUCUCUGAAGGCAGAAUGGCAGAUGCCUUCCACAAAUUGCCUCAGAGCACAGAAAUGCAACAAGAGCCUCCUUAAUCCCGGGUGCAGGAACAGCACUGGGGCAGGGAGAGGUCAUGGUCUUCUGGGACAGCCACCCACCUCCGUGCUGAAAUUGCCUAGAAGUAAGAUGAACCUGUUCUUGUCUUCAGAAUGACACACUAAUAAAUGAAAGAGGUUGUCACCAUGAACUGUGACAACACUGGCCUCCUGCUGCUUGCCACCAGACAGCCCCCAAGCACUGUGAUUUAUAAGCUCUGAACAGCCAAGACAGUUACAAGACUUCUGAUGAGAGUCCCCAGAAGCUGCUCUGAGACAUAGAGCCCCAUUUGCUGCAACCACGUGUGAGGAAUUUAUUCAAAGUCCAAGCAUGACACUGCACUUCUCCUUAACUGUAAAGCGCAUGCCCAUUCCAAAGAAAAGAAUACCCAAAUAUCAAAUAUCCCCAAAUUCGUGUGUGUGUGUGUGUGUGUGUGUGUGUGUGUGUGUGUGUGUGUGUGUGUGUGUGUGUGUUGUGGAGGGGGUUGUCCAUAGAGUCCAGAAGAAGGCAAUGGUCCCCUGGAACUGGAGUUACAGGCCAUCAUGAACCACCUUUCAAGUCUUCUGAAAGAACAGAAAACGCACUAUACACCUCAGGCAGCCCUCCAGCACCCACACCUAUGUUCUUGGUGUAUCUCGGUGGCCUUACCAGGCCAGAUUUAGACUGUGGGAUUUGGGGCAAAUGGGUAAUAUUUCAUUAUUGUUUGAGGGUUUUUUGUUAUGUGUGAGGGGAAAAAUUGGUUUAUUUGAAAAUCAUUUUUAGCUGGGCAUGGUGACUCACACU